rnacentral:misc_RNA from 1 species
CUGUGCGUUGUCCGGAAUGUCGUAAAGUUCACAGAGUUUUACACGAUAACGUGUCUUCUUUUCCAAGAAACGUAACAAUUGAACGACUUCUUGAUGGUGCAAACAAUUACGUAACUGUAAGACUUAGGAACCAACCACAUCAAAGUACUGCAGCACCAAAUCCAGUAACACAUCCGCUAAAUCCAACAGCACCACCAGUAGAAAACCAGGAAAGCCAGUCUACUGCAGCACCUGUGAUUGAAACAAACAACCAGACGAUAGAAUCUACACCUUCCAAUACAAACGAUACAAAACGAGGAGGUUGUUGCCAGGAAACAUGUGAUUGUUCGUGCUGCAAAAGUACUUAUACCAGAUUAUGGCGAGUUCUUUAAAUUGUCGUUAUAAACAAAAAAUUACGGCGAUUUUUCCUUGUGUUUGCUUUUAUUUCUUGUUUGAUCACACUGUCAAGGGGAAUUGCAGGUACUUUAUAACUUUCAGUCAAGCAAUGUUGAUUUUAUUUUACAAAACAUAUAUCUCAUUUAGAUUAUUUUUUACCUCUGAAGUACUGCCUUUGCAAAUUGUCAUAUUCUUACAAUUUAUAACAUAAAUAUGACCAUAUUUACUGGUCAAGCUUCAUUGUACCAAACUACAAUGAUGUAAAUUUGUACUUUUCUAAGCUUAGAGUUGUUUGUUGUUUUGAUUUGUUGAAUUCAGACAAAAUAGGUCUGUCAUGUGGAUCCUUUUCAGCUUUUUAUGGUGAAAGAUGGUCCUAGGUCUCCCCCUGAGCAUUAUUUCAGGCAUGGGCAGACACCUUAGUAGUACAACCGACCUUUCGUAAGCAAGACUGAUAACUUCUCGAUAUAUAUAAGUUUACACCACAAGCGAAAUUUCGAACCUACAUCGAUGAGGAACAAGUGUUUUCAAGUCAACGACUACAGAGGCCCCCAUCUUAGAGUUGCAAUAACAUUAUCAUAUAUUUUAUUUAUACUAGUACAUAAAUUAUAUAUUUGUACAUGUGUGGGAGACAAUUCACGUUGGUUCAAAACAUCGAAGGAUAUUGUCAUAAUUAUCUUUUGCAUGAGAAAUAAGACAUGUUAUUUUAAAGUUAUAUUUAAACUGAAUUCAAGAAUAUAAUAAUAUAUACGUCUAUAGAAGGAGUUGUACUACUAAAUACAGAGGUUCUGCGAUUCAGUGUUUUAGCUGUAGCCUUUGUAGUGUAUUCGGUUUUUUGCAUCAGAUUUCCCGAAUGUAUUAUAUUGUAGUAGGUCAAGCCAGGAAAGCAAAUCCAAUUAAUGAGGAAAAUAUUAAAACUCUAUCGAUAUCCAAUGUAUGGUUCGCUUUUAACCAAGCAUCAAAUCUGAGUUUUCCCUGUGAAAUAUAAGGUCUAAAAAUAGCAUAGCCAGUUUCCUUAAUAUAGAACGCUGCACUCACUAAACAAAAACGCAACUUCCGGUUUUUACUGUUUGCCAGCUUAUUUUACAGUUGACGUUCAAUGUUCGCUGUCAUAAAGUUUAGUGCUUCCUGAUAGUGUUCGCUGACUUGUGUUUUCUAAAGGAGUAUCAAAACACAUGACAGUAACAAAAAAAAAAAGAGAAUUGUCUCUGAGAAGAAUUAUAUGUGAAAGGGAAGCUUCCGAUAUAAAGAAAGCAACAAGAUCUGCAUAUGUCUGUUUCUUGAUACUUAUUAGAUAUGUUAGGUUUUGAAUUAAAAAUUAAAAUGUUUUUUUUUGUCUAUCAAAUAUUGGUUACAUAGCCUGAAAGGGAACUUACAUUCAUAUAAUAAAACAAUUGUUGACAUCAAGCCGAUAAAUAUGACGUAGUAUUCAACAAAGGAGACAAUAUUGACUGAAGCAAUGAAGUGAUGUAAUCUACCAAAAGGGUAUCGCGGAAUUGUUUUCCACAAAUUUCUUUGAUUAUGUUGCGGCCGAUUACAUUGGUUUGUAAAUGGAUAGUGUUAAUCAACAAUCAAAUCUUGAGCUUGAGCUGAUACAAAUACUUUAUUUUCAAGCACCGGACACUAACUGGCUUGAAACAACUACCUUGAAGUUCGCGGGACUCUAUUUCCUUCUUUAUAUUUAUACUUAAUAUUGUUUCAAAUAACGUGACCAUGUUAUAUAUAUGUGCAUUUUAAUUUUCAGGGUUUGUUAAACUGAGCAGUGAUUGUAAACAAGAACACGAUGCCGCUGUUUUCCUAAUUGUGAAAGCAUCUCUGGCGGCCUUUUACUGGGGGACGUUUUUCGUUUUGUACUGCGUGAAGCAUCUUCGUAAAGCAAUAAAAAAUCCAUUCAUUCUAAUCUACCUGAUACUUGAUGCAUUAUUUGGUGUUCCUUGGCUUUGUUUAGGUUUGCAGAAUGAUAGCUAUUAGAUAGUAAAUCGUCAUCACUGUAAAGGUCAUAAUCACAUUUAGAUUUCGUCUUCAUAAUUGUACACAAAAUUGUACAUUAAUAAUAAUUCAUAUUUUAAUAUAAGCUGCCGGUUCCACUCUUCACAGAUACUUAGCAAGCUAUUUUGAUGAUCCUUUAAAAGUUAUAUUCUUUGAAAGAAUGGAUUGAAAUGAUGAAUGUGCCCGAAGCAAAUUACUCAGUAUACUAUUUAAAAAUCUCAGAGCUUGGAGAUGGGCAGUAGAUAUCGUCUCCACUCGAAUACUGUCGGCCAAGACUUUGUCUCUAACAGGUUGACAGUAUUUUGGCACAAAUAAAACUAAUUGAUAACAAUAAGAAUAUCUAACAUUUAGUAUGAGGGAGUUUUGCUUUAGCAGCGAAAUCAUUGUUCUCCACCCUCAUAUCAGUCAAUAUAUCAACAUACUUAGGCGUGUAAUACUUCUAAUUUCAGGGACUUACUGGGUAUUUGGAAUGCGCGAGGAGAUCAAGACAGUAUGCCCUCGCUUGGUUGAGAGCUGGAACUCAGGUUUCCUCGACUUUUCUAGUUUUCUUAUCGUUGUGGACUGGAUUUGUUUUAUUGGAUUUUUGUUCUUUGCAGCAUAUGUUGCAUGUGGUCCAGAAACUGUUUAUGAUGGCAAUGAGGAUGAAGACGCCACCGAACAGGAAUCCCGAGGCGGUGUAAGCAAUGCAAAUGUCUAUGCCUUUCAGCAAGGAGGAAAUCAUAUAUAGUUAUAUAUAGACAAUGUGCAUACACCAUAUUCCAAGUAUUUCGUUAUGCAUUUUUGUUGCACUGCUUCCUGUCUAUGUAUACAGUAUGUGUGAACGAUGUAGAGUGCUGUGUAGGAGGCUACGUUCUUUAGAGUUUGUUUUCCGUUAGACUUUUGUUCUUACUUUCUAUAGCAAUUUAUGGCUAUCUCUUUGUAUAUGUAAGGAUUGUAAGCAGUAUUAUGUAAUGUGCCAAAACACAUUAUAAAAGUAAGAAUGAAUUUGUUUGUAUUGAGUUUAUUUGUGUCAAUAAAGAAGAUAUUAAAAGA